AUGGACAUUAGUCAGGCCUUUAGAAUUUUAUUGGUUCACCCAGCUGAUUUUGACCUUCUGGGAAUUUUCUUUGAUGGGAAAUAUUAUAUUAAUAAAUGUCUGCCUGAAGGCUGUUCUAUAUCAUGUGCCCUCUUUGAAAAAUUUGCCACUUUUUUGCAUAAAACAGUUGCAUUGAAAGCUGGCAUUGAGACUUUAGACCACUAUUUGGAUGACUUUUUCUUUGCUGGUGAAAGUUCAACGGAUAAUUGUACCAUUUUGAUGGACACUUUUAAUGAAGUAUGUAGGCAGCUAGGUGUUCCACUAGCAGAGAAUAAAACAGUAGGUCCUACCACAUGUAUCACAUUUUUAGGCCUUGAAAUUGACACAGUACUUAUGUUGGUUAGAAUCCCCCCUGAAAAACUGGAUAAACUUAAAUUUAUGCUUGAUCAGGUCUUGUCGAAAAAGAAAAUGGCACUGAAGGAACUUGAAUCAAUUACUGGUUUAAUGGCAUUUUGUUCAAGGGCUAUUAUAUCAGCCCGUGCUUUUAUUCGUCGUUUUUACGAUUUGAUAGCUUCAGUUAAGAAUGGAAAGCCUUAUUAUACUGUCAGAUUGAAUUCAGAGGUCAAAGCAGAUGCUAGAGUUUGGCUAAAUUUUCUAGAUCAAUUCAAUGGUCAGUGUUAUUUUCCUGAUAGAUUUUGGUCGACUAAUGAAAGUCUGGAAUUAUUCACUGAUAGUGCAGGUAAUGUUUUAUUAGGUUGUGGAGCUUAUUUUCAAGGUCACUGGGUACAAUACCAGUGGCCAAGUAGUUGGGCUGAUACUAGCAUUUUAUUGGAUAUAACAUGUUUGGAGCUUAUUCCCAUCGUGCUGUCGUUCAUGAUAUGGGGUCGUUCAUUUAGAAAUAAAAAGAUUCUGUUGAGAAUAGAUAAUCAGGCAUUAGUAAGCAUUGUGAACAAAAGAACAUCAAAAUCAAAGAGAGUUAUGAUAUUGAUAAGACAACUAGUUUUUUCUCACUAUGAACAAUAACAUACAAUUUAGGGCACAACAUAUUGAGGGUGAGCAUAAUGCAAUCGCAGAUGCUCUUUCUCGAUUUCAGGAACAACGUUUUAUGGACUUGGUCCCGAAUGCAGACAGUUCUCCAGCAGCAAUCCCACAAGAAUUCCUGUCGAUGAUUUCAGAACUGAAAUGAAUCAUUUACUUAUAAAUUCAUUAGCACCCAGUACACAGAAAGCAUAUUUGCAUAGCAUGGACAUAUUUGUUAAAUUCAGAGAAAAUCAUGGUUUUUCUGAUGUCUGGCCUAUUCCGCUUGAUGACUUGACAUCAUUCAUUGUUUAUAUGUUUAGAAAGAAAUUGUCCCACUCAACAGUAUCUGGCUAUAUUUCAGGCUUAAGUUACUUUAAUAAAAUCAACAAUUUAGAAGACAAUACACAGAAAUUUGUUGUCAGAAAAUUGAUUGAAGGAAUAAAAAGGUUGGGGGGCCCAAAUCAAAAGGACACUAGAUUACCCAUAACGAGAGAUAUAUUGGAAAAAUUAUUGAGGUCACUGGCGGUGAUUUGCAAAAACGGGUAUGAGACAAAACUGUUUAUGGCUUCAUUUUCGCUAGCCUUUCAUGGUUUUAUGAGAGUAGGUGAAAUAACAGUUGAUUGUAAAAAUAAGCAGAUGCAUACUGUAAAAUUUGAAAAUAUAAAGCUUUGUGAUGCAAGAUUAGAGGUUUUAUUGACGUCAUCUAAAACUGAUCAGUUUGGUUCUGGAACAACAAUCGUUAUUUCUAAGCAGAAAAAACAAAAAUGUAUGUCCAGUACAAAUAAUGGCUAAUUUUAUUAAAGUUCGCCCACCUUAUCUGGGACCUUUAUUUUGUCAUUUUGAUGGAUCCCCCCUUACAAGAUACCAGUUUUCAGCAUUAUUAAAAAGGUCUCUGUCAGUAAUUGGUAUAGAAAACAAUGGAUUUAAGUCCCAUUCCUUUAGAAUUGGCAUGGCAACUACAUGCGCAUUAGAAGGUAUUUCUGAUGAACAAAUUAAAGAAAUGGGACGUUGGAAGUCACAGGCCUUUUUGCGUUACAUUAGGAUUUAAAUGCCUGAACAUCAUAUAUGUACAUUUAUUUGUGUAAAUAUGUUUCUAUAUUUGCUUAUUUUGUAAUAUGUUUCUAUAUUUGCUUAUUUUGUAAUGCAGUCUUGAGCUGGCAUUUAAAUAAUAUUGUAUUAUGUAAAUAAAUGGUAUGUCCUGCAUCAAUAUAAGCAAGUAAUAAUUGCUUUCUAAGAAUUGCAGGACAUGCUACAGUUUGGAUCGUUGGAUCCUCGAUUAUUAAGCAUGCCUUUGGGGAAGCCAGAGGAAGACCGGG
rnacentral:sRNA from 1 species